AUGGUGCCAAUGAUUCUUAUAAAUAUACUUUGAGGAAUCCCUAUGAAAAGUUCUUAAUCUGAGGCACUGU